GACGAACGCUGGCGGCGUGCUUAACACAUGCAAGUCGAACGGUGAAGCGCCUUCCUUUCUGGUGGGUGUGGAUGAGUGGCGAACGGGUGAGUAACACGUGAGUAACCUGCCCCCUUCUUCUUGAUAACCGCAUGAAAGUGUGGCUAAUACGGGAUAUUCUGGGUCUGUUGCAUGAUUGGUCUGGGAAAGAUUUUGUUUCGGUGGGGGAUGGGCCCGCGGCCGAUUAGCUUGUUGGUGGGGUGAUGGCCUACCAAGGCAGAGGUGGGUAGCCGGCCUGAGAGGGUGGUGGACGGUCACAGGAAGACUGAAACACGGCCGAGACUCCGGGGGGAGGCAGCAGGGGGGAAUAUUGCAAAGGGGGAGCGAGCCUGAUGCAGCGACGCCGCGUGAGGGAUGGAGGCCUUCGGGUUGUGAACCUCUUUCGCGAGUGAAGCAGGCCUGCAUCGUUUGUGGGUGGGUUGACGGUAGCUUGAUAAGAAGCGCCGGCUAACUACGUG
rnacentral:rRNA from 1 species